rnacentral:rRNA from 1 species
CACUCCUGCGGGAGGCAGCAGUGGGGAAUAUUGCACAAUGGGCGCAAGCCUGAUGCAGCCAUGCCGCGUGUAUGAAGAAGGCCUUCGGGUUGUAAAGUACUUUCAGCGGGGAGGAAGGCAAUACGGUUAAUAACCGUGUUGAUUGACGUUACCCGCAGAAGACGAACCGGCUAACUCCGUGCCAGCAGCCGCGGUAAUACGGAGGGUGCAAGCGUUAAUCGGAAUUACUGGGCGGAAAGCGCACGCAGGCGGUCUGUCAAGUCGGAUGUGAAAUCCCCGGGCUCAACCUGGGAACUGCAUUCGAAACUGGCAGGCUUGAGUCUUGUAGAGGGGGGUAGAAUUCCAGGUGUAGCGGUGAAAUGCGUAGAGAUCUGGAGGAAUGCCGGUGGCGAAGGCGGCCCCCUGGACAAAGACUGACGCUCAGGUGCGAAAGCGUGGGGAGCAAACAGGAUUAGAAACCCCUGUAGUCUCAUG